rnacentral:rRNA from 1 species
UACAGGAGGUCUCAAGCGUUGUUCGGAUUCAUUGGGCGUAAAGGGUGCGUAGGCGGCGCGGUAAGUCGGGUGUGAAAUCUCGGAGCUUAACUCCGAAACUGCAUUCGAUACUGCCGUGCUUGAGGACUGGAGAGGAGACUGGAAUUUACGGUGUAGCGGUGAAAUGCGUAGAUAUCGUAAGGAAGACCAGUGGCGAAGGCGGGUCUCUGGACAGUUCCUGACGCUGAGGCACGAAGGCCAGGGGAGCAAACGGG